rnacentral:rRNA from 1 species
AGAGUUUGAUCCUGGCUCAGAAUCAACGCUGGCGGCGUGCCUCAGACAUGCAAGUCGAACGCGAAAGUCCCCUUCGGGGGACAAGUAGAGUGGCGCACGGGUGAGUAACACGUAGGUAAUCUACCUUCGGAUGGGGAAUAACAAUCGGAAACGGUUGCUAAUACCGCAUAAUGCAGCGGCACCUAAUGGUGACAGUUGUUAAAGCGGGGGAUCGAAAGACCUCGCGUCUGAAGAGGAGCCUGCGGCGGAUUAGCUAGUUGGUAAGGUAAUGGCUUACCAAGGCUACGAUCCGUAACCGGCCUGAGAGGGCGGUCGGUCACACUGACACUGACAUACGGGUCAGACUCCUACGGGAGGCAGCAGUCGGGAAUUUUGGGCAAUGGGCGAAAGCCUGACCCAGCAACGCCGCGUGAAGGAUGAAAUCCCUCGGGAUGUAAACUUCGCAAGAACGGGAAGAAUAAGCGAGAGUUAAUAUCUUUCGUGAUGACGGUACCGUUUGUAAGCUCCGGCUAACUCCGUGCCAGCAGCCGCGGUAAUACGGGGGGAGCAAGCGUUGUUCGGAUUUACUGGGCGUAAAGGGCGCGUAGGCGGCCAGCACAAGUCAGUUGUGAAAUCUCCGAGCUUAACUCGGAAAGGUCAACUGAUACUGUGCGGCUAGAGUGCAGAAGGGGCAACUGGAAUUCUUGGUGUAGCGGUGAAAUGCGUAGAUAUCAAGAGGAACACCUGCGGCGAAGGCGGGUUGCUGGGCUGACACUGACGCUGAAGUGCGAAAGCCAGGGGAGCGAACGGGAUUAGAUACCCCGGUAGUCC